AUAAAAUAUAAGAGGUCCAGCCUGCCCAGUGACAUGUUAAACGGCCGCGGUACCCUAACCGUGCGAAGGUAGCACAAUCACUUGUUCUAUAAAUCAGGACUAGUAUGAACGGCCUCACGAGAGCUAUACUGUCUCCCCUCUUUAAUCAGUGAAACUGAUCUCCUCGUGAAGAAGCGAGGAUACUAAUACAAGACGAGAAGACCCCAUGGAGCUUUAAACUCGUACCACUGCCUUUUAUUCACCAAUUAACUUAGGCAAACAAUGACUACGAGUCUUUCGGCUGGGGCGGCCACGGAGAAAAACUAAACCUCCAUGACGAAAGGAGCAAUCCUAAUUGAAGAGCCACUGCUCAAAGAAUCAAUAAACUGACCUAUUGACCCAAACAUUUUGAUCAACGAACCAAGUUACCCUGGGGAUAACAGCGCAAUCCAUUUCAAGAGACCCCAUCAACAAAUGGGCUUACGACCUCGAUGUUGGAUCAGGGUAUCCUAGUGGUGCAGCCGCUACUAAAGGUUCGUUUGUUCAACGAUUUAAACCCUACGUGAUCU
rnacentral:rRNA from 1 species